GGCUAGAACAAGAGAAACGUGGCUGAUAUUGACUCAUUUUAGAGGCACGCUGACAAACAUCCUGACAAGCAUCUGAUCAGUUCCUGCCCGGUGGAGUGGCAAGCUCAUAUCGCUAGAAACUAGCAGGCCUGAACUUGACCCCUGGCUUCUGCAGCAGAGGAGACAGCAAUGUUCAGUGUUGAGAGUUAUUUGCAUGUUUUGGAUAUAACGAUCUUUUGGAUAACAGUUCUUUAUCAAUGGUGUCUCUUGCAGCUCUCAGGUCCAGAAGUCCAAAAUCCAGGCAUCAGUAGGAUCGGUUCCUUUGGAAACACCAAUCAAGCAUCCUCCCUGCAGACUUAUAUCCCGCCUCCCUGGCCACUGGAGAAGGUUUCUGGGCAUGAGGUCUUCCAGGAGGAAGAGAGAUUCUGGUUGCCAGCGUUUCGUUUCGCAUCAGGAUACGAUGGCAAAUGCUAAGCACUGUUUUGGUUGUUCACAGUUCUAGUGGUGGAUCAUGUUCUCGUUCGCAGUUGUCAUCUUCCCACCCUGUAGGAGCACCUGCCCUCUGCUCCCUGCCAUGUGACCUGUAGCACCUUCUCAUGAGGACCGUGAACUCUCCCAGGUUCCGGGCUCGGCCAUGCACUCUCCUUCCUGGCCCCCAGGGAAGAGAGGGCAGUGGCGCAUGCCACCUCCACUCCAUGCCUGCAUGAUCAGUGUGGGCUUCUACUUCGUGAAUCUGACCUUGAUCAUGAGCGUGAGAUAGUAUCUGGGCUGUUCCUUCAUCUUGGGGCUCAGAAUAAGAUGACAUGGAAUAAAAGUCACAUUUGACUCAUAUCCGAUGAGUCAUCUGGGUAAAAAAUAAAUGUUAUUGGUUGUAAUCCCCUAAAAUUCUAGAUGGUGUGUCACAGCCGCUUCACCUAAUGAAAGCUGAAUCCUGGGAAAUAGUGCUGGGCUGUGUUUAGUCACAAAAUUUCUGGAUAGCUCUGAGGAAUGGGCUACCUCUGUGUUUAAUCUUGAUCUACUGUCAGUUGAUAAAAACUGGCUGUUAUUUACAGCAAUCAAGAUAUGAUAUCCUUUACUAGUGACUAUGUUGAUUGCAAAGAAGCUUCGGAAGCUAUUUGGCAAUGUAUAACAAGCCUGAAUGUUUUGUACUACUCAGAUCUAGCCAACGAAUGGAGAGAUUGUGUUAUUUGAAAAGGUGGAGGGCUUGGUGAUACACACCUGUGAUCCCAAGACUCAGGAGGCUGAGGCAGGGGCCUAUUGCAUGUUCCAGGCAGGCAUGGGCUACAGAGCGAGUUCAAGGCCAGCCUGAACCACAUAGCAAGACUUUAAUCUUAAAAAAAAAAAGGAAGAAAAACUGGAAACCACCUAAAUGCCCCGUCACAAGGAGAUAUUUAUAAAAUAUAUGAUUACACUGGCUUUUUUUUUUUUUUUUUGGUUGCUGGGACAAAAUAGCUGAGAAUAUUUAUUUUGGUUCAUGAUUUUAGAUAUCCAGUCCAUGUUAGGUUGGCUCCAUUGCUUCUAGGUCCAUGCAAAACAUCAUAGCUGAAGGGCAUGGUGGAGAAAAGAGCUGUCUCAUGGCAUCCAGGAAGCAGAGGAAGAGAGAGAGAACCAGAGAAUAGUUCUACCGUGGAAGUCAUGCCCUCAAUGACCUACCACCUCCUAAUAGCUCAUUCGGCUGGCUAUGAAUUUAUCAGUGAUUAUGCCGCUGAUGAGGUUGGCUUCCUCAGUUUGGAGAUACCUCUCCAGGCUUCUCUUAAUCCAGUCAAGUUAAUGAUCAAAGUUAACCAGCACAAUGAUGGCUGUUAUGAAGUCAGGAAAAUCAGUAAUGAGUAAAGACAUGGGGGAGAUGCUUAUAUUUUAACACUGGGUGAAUUAAACAGACCUAUAAAUAUCCAGCAGUCCAAAUUCAUAUAACAGAUCUGCAAUCAUACAGUUCAUAAUUUCCAAGCUUUUUUCACUCUUUCCCUUUGUACACACACAGUUGUGUAUAAAAAGUAGACCGGGAAGAAAUAAGGAAAAAAACCCAAGCUCAUCCCUAGUUGGUGUUUUCUGUUCUACAUUUUCUAAACUUUCUAUGGUGCAUGUGUACUACUUUGGUAAUCAGAAAUAAGUGAGCGCUAUUUAAAAACAAGAACCAUUUCGGUCACCUCCAGGGCAGUGCCUCGUGCUGUGGUGGCAGAGGGGCCCUAAUUGGGACUCCUCAUCUAAGAAUAAGCCUGUGUGUUUAACUAGGUCACUCUCCUGCCGACCUAGAAUCUCUGCACAGGGCUUAGCCUGUGCUCCCAGAACCUCCAGGCGCCGCUGUUCCGGCCCCCGGAGGCUGCUGGGCCGGAGCCGCCUGCGCUUCUGCCUGCCUUCAGCCAAGUGUAAAUUUGAGCAGUUUGAGAGCUGUCACCCUGGGGAAGCUACUACCCUCAUGCCUCUCUCACAAGUCUUUUUCAAAAACAAAUUUAGCCAAGUCUGUGCGAUGGAAGAGAAAAACAGGGGCUGGUGAAGUAAGCAUUUUAACCAUUUGGGGGUACUAACAGUUCAUUAAUUCUGUGGCUCCUGUUCAUGGUUCCAGGUGGCCGUCUGGGUAGGGUAUGUCCUGUCACACAUGUUCAGGCUCUAGACUGGCUGGUGAGCAGGGGCCGGGAGGGGACGAGUCUCAGAAGUGCGUAAAUUCACAGGCUGUGAACCUCCUGGGAGGGGCGCUGCCCCUGGGGAAAGGGGCAGAGGACAGCCAGCUCUGCCCUGCAUUGAGGCCUUGAAUGCAGGGGACAGUGCUUUUCCAGGUCGCCUCCCUGCAGAGUCUGUUUCCCUUAAGUCUUGGUGCAGGUUAGCCCCAGGAGGGGUGCAGCCUCUGCAUGUGUGUGUAUGUAUGUGUGUGUGUGUGGUGUGUGUGUGUGUGGGUGUGUAGGAGCACAUCACAUGUGGUGAGCAUCUGCAGUGUUGGGAUCAGAAUUGAGGACAAUCAGGGACAAGACAACUGGGACAGCAGCCUCGUAGGAGCCGCCUAUGUCAACAAUAGUAUAGCACCCUCCACUUCCAAAACUACUAUUUGGUAGCUGGUCUACAAGCAUCUGUGUAAACUCCGUCCUGAGCUCUGUCUGUGGAGUACAGCACCCCUCCCAUCGUCUUCAGCCAGAUCUGCCUUAGUUACAGUCACCUUCUUCUUCUUCUUCUUCUUCUUUUUUUUUUUUUUUUUUUGUCUUUUUCAUUUUUAUCGGUACCGGGGAUCAAAUUCACGACCGCCUGCUUGCAAGGCAGGUGCUUGUCCCGCUGAGCUAAAUCCCCAGCCCCUACAGUCACCUUCUAUCUUUCCAUCCCCUAGACGGUUUCAUACAUGAACCUUUAAACUCCAUGGUCUCUAAUUCUUUCUAGCUGAGGUAUGAUACAUACAAAGUGUGAGAUACUGUGAAUUGGACCUGGGGCCCUCACACCAAGCUUCACCCUCAGCUUCCUUUCAUAUAUAAUAUAUGGUAUGGCAAGCUGGGCUCAAACUUUCGGUCCUCCUGCCUCAGCCUCCCAGGGAGCUGGGAUUACAGGUGUACCCCCUGAUGCCUGGAUGAAUGCAUUUGUUCUUGUGCCCAGUAUAUAGUUCAUUUCUCUUCACAGAUGAUUCCAACACUUUAUCCAUUUUGGUGCUAGUGAACAAUUGAGUUGUUUCCAGUGGGGAUGAUGUUAAACAAAGACGCCAUGCAUUCUUACAUGCAGAUUGGCUGGACGUAUGCUGUCUCUUUUAACCCACUGUCCUUCCUUCAGGGUCUUGGCCACUCCCUGAGAAUGGCCCCUGGGGACAGACCACACACCUGCCACGCUUCCUGCUCAUGGGUUCGGCCACUGCCUGGUCUCCUCUCUUUCUUGGCCAUGAUUGCUGCAGCAGGGCCUUUCCCUGCCCUCCACUGCUGCCUACCCCACAUCACCACUGACCUCAGCGGUCCAGGCCUCCUGUGCCUCUACCUGCUGCCAAAUGCAGGGGUGCUCGGCCCUUCUGCAGCACUCCUGCCUCCUCCUGGGCUUGCCUGCUCCCAUGCUGCCUCUUGCAUUCACUACCUGCUUAUGCCUGGGGCUGUGUCCUCAGCUCUGGUCCCCUGCUUGUCUGUCCCCAGGGGCCCUCUUGCUGCUGGGAACUUGGCUACCCUUGAUGCUAAUGCAGCUUCCUUAUCCUCAGUCUCUAGAUCCUCAGUCAGAGGAUACGCUAGGCCCAUUCGGUGGUGAACUUUGAUUCACCUUGAUGUGAGGUUCUUUUUAUGUGUUUCUGUGCCCGCCUCAUGUGAGAGGAUAUUCAUCUGUUGACUGCACCAAUGCCCGUGUGUUUCAUUCCCCUGCCCCGACUAAGGGUGUGAUCACGCAUAUAUACAGUAAAUUGUGUUACUUCUUACAUUUAGAAAAUAUGGAGUUCUGAAAUAUAUCUGUCCCCAGAGUUUCAGAGAGGCCACCACAGACUGGCAACUCCCGCAUCUGCGUGAGCCCAGGCCUCCCCAGCGCAUGAUGGCACCGCUUCCUGGCAGCAUCUCUGGAUCUGUGGCCCCAUUCCGGCCUGUCCUCUCUGGGAUCCGGUGUGGCUGGGUGGCUCAGGCCUGCCCACUCUUCCUCACUUCCCUGUGCGUGGGGCCUUUGCUGACCUGGCCUAGCUUCCCUCCUCUACCUCCCUCACACCCCCAGGACCAGCUGUGGGCUGCUUCCUUCCCCUUCCCCUUUCAAGCCUGGGGUUGCUGUGCUGAGAAUUCUUCACACAGUCCGGUCCUCGCUUCCUGUUCAUUUCUCAAGAGGGUGGGCAAAGUUGUCUCCUGCACCUGGAGGCACCCCCAACAAACAGUGCACUCCCAGCUGCCUCUGGCUGGCUCUUCAGCCCCGGUGAGCAGUGCUUGCUGGCUCAUGACACAGUCGCUGGGUGAGAACCCAGAAUGAGUGUCUGCCCCUUCUUCAAAGCUGCAGGUCCCCACGGACUCCAGCCCCAGCUUAGGGGCACUGGGAGCUGGCCUAUAAGGUGAGCGUACUGCCAGAGCCAAGGUCUCAUCCCUUAAUGCUGGCCACUAGGCUCCAACAAGACCUCGUGAAAUGCAAAAGUUUUUCCUUUAUUUGAAAAGUGAGCAAAUAUCAAUGUAUUUAUGAGCCUGUACUCUGCUACUUUCAUUUGGCAUAGACAUCUCUUGUAAUAUCUGUCAUUUUAUACCACUCAGUUUUCAUUACUGAACCACAUAUCAGAAAAUGUUGAUACUCCAGAAAAGAAAGCAAGCCUCACCUUACUGCCUGCCUAUGAUAGCUAUUUGCAGUUUUAAAAAUUCUCUUUGUGUAUGCAUUUUGUACAUAGUUUGCAUGUUUGUGGGAAUAGAAUUUUGUGUUCUGCCACCACCCAUAUCUUUUGUUUGUUUUUUUAAGAUAGGGUCUUGCUAUGUAGUUCAAACUGGUUUUGAACUCACAAGGCUGCCCAGGCUGGCUUCAAACUGACGGCAAUCUCCUGCCUUACUCUCCUGAGUGCUAGGAUUACAGGUGUGCGCCACCACGCCAAGCUUAUGAUAGUUUAAGCAUCAUAUAUCUGCAUGUAUAAUAGUUUAAAAAUUACAGAUUCCCUUUUCUUUAGUUGAGCAUUGAUUUGACCUGGUUUUGCAUGAUCAGUCUUGUUGCGUUUAGCCUGUUUUGUGGUUCUAGAGGCUGCACUUGUGACCCCUUGCAGGGCCUGCUGCAGACCCCUGUGCCUACCAGAAAUUAGCAGCCACGCCACGCACGGCCUCCUGGUGGCACUGGGCUGGAAGCCUUCUUUUCACCAACCUGCUUGAGCACUUGUCUGUCUCAUUUCUUCUACUGGGCUUCUUUAAGAGCCAGGAACGCGUUUCACUCACAGGCCAGGCGUGAGGUAGAUGCUUCGUAACUGCAUACUGUCUCCUCACAAGGACUUGGGUGUAGGAGGCAGCUGACCCUCGCAAGGUCUCUGACUCCUGCAAAAGCUUCUGUUUGCCCCAGCACCUGGCCAGAACCCCUGCCUCUCAAGGUUACAGUGGGAGGGGUGAGGAUAGGGUCUUGGUUGGGGAGGCCCCCCAGCUUUGGCAUUCAAGGCCUUUCCUGACUCAGCCUCCGUGGAGCUGGGCAAGAAGUCUUGGUACCAGCCAGGCCAGGUGUGGGGCUUUCCUGCAGCUCCCUGUCCUUGCCCUCUUGGCUGGUGAGUCUUCACCCCAGGCCUGACCUCCUUCUCAAGGACAGGCCACAGCUGUCUCCUGAGCUCCUGCUGCCUCCUCGGCUGUACCCGAGUCUUCCCAGGGGUUUCCUGGCCUGUCAGACCUGCAGAGUUGCUGAGCGGGUGGCUCCGUGGGUUUUCCAGUAAACAGGAACGGGCUCAUUUUUACCUAAAAGGGGGACCCCAAGAGCCUUGCAGGAUGGCCCCUGACUUCCCCUGUCCCCAGCCUGUGCUCUCAUAGGAUGUCAGGAUGGCUGUGUGGGUGGCCUCCCUGCCUGUUUCCUUCCCCCCUCCCCGAGCUGCGGCCACCCUGGGGCUCCAGCCUGAGUCCUGAGGUCAGUGCCUGGCACACCCACUGCUGGUCCUGGGCCAGUACAACUCUCACACACCUACCCCCACCACAUCCACGUCACACUCACACUCACACACGAACUCCAGGGGCUCCCGGUGUUUUGCUAGAAGGAACCACAAGUUCUUGGGAGUUUUUUGCUUCUCACUCGAAAUCUCCCUGUCCCUGACUCCCAGCCAAAGAGGAGGGUGGUAUUUGCCCUAGGUGGGGUAGAAUUGUUUCUGGGAUAAAGUGCUGCACGGCCUUGACUCUGUUCCAGGCUCUCCCCAGUACACCGAGCACUAUCUCUGGUCAUAGUCCAGUCGCACAAGCCGUUGGCCAUCUGGCCACACUAGCAGGGAGGAGGGGGCUGGGACCAGCACCGUGGCAGGCUCUGAGGACCCAGCCAUCACCCCAGAGGCAGAUCCCAUCCCCAUGAUCCACUUGCUUCCUGCUUCUCAGCACUGGCUUAUGGCUGGCCCUGAGAAAUUCCUUUUCCUUCUAAAGGGAUGAAAAUCGUCUCUUUCCUUAAAGACCUUAUCCCUGACUGUCUUAUCAAAAAGACUUCCCAGGGCAUGCGGUUAGCUCCCACCUCCCUCUCCCUGUAGUAAGGGUGCCUGCCUGUGUGAGGAAGCCCAGGAUGGUUCUGGGGGAAUGCCUCUGCUUCCCCUAAGAGGGUUUCUCCAAGCUCCAGGAGACAGAAGCCUCCUCCAUCCCCACGGCGUGGCCCCCGAUACUAAAGCCUCUGGGGUGACACAUGUGGGUUACAGCUAGGCCCAGAGCUUCCCGCUGCCCCAUAGCUGCCCCUGAUCUGGUAACCUGCACGCAGGCAGCCAGGGGACAGAAAGCUGCCACAAAAACACUUCUUAAACAGAUACUGUUUAGAAGGAAAGGAGUUCGAGGACAGUGACUGGGAAUAUGGCUGUCCCCAGAGAACACAGAUGCUCUAAUUCUAAGAGUUUCAAAUUGGGCUGGGUAUGAUGGUGCAUACCAUAAUCCUCAUCCCAGCACUGGGAAGGCCGAGGCACGAACAUUGCCUCAGGUUAAAGGCCAGCCUGAAGACCCUAUCUCUGAAAAAAAAAAAGAAAGAAAACAAAAGAAUUUCAGAAGUGCAAUAAUCUCAAGUUUAUGUGAAGUUAUAAAAUAAAAAAUUAUACACAGGAAUUUCUUACAUGCUUUACCAAGAUUUACCCAUUGUUAAUGUUUGGUUCCAUUGUUUUACCACUGUUCCCUGAGCCUGUAUAUACACACAUGGUCAUUUUUCCUGAGCCAUUUGAUGGGAGGUGAUAUGCAUAAAGACUUCUACCCUAAACCCUUCAGUGAAUAUUUCUCAGGAGAAAGGAUAUUUUCUUACAUUACCACCAUGUGAUCAUCCAGUUUAUAGGCUUGGACUGGCAUGUGGUAAUUUCAUCUAACCGACCACCUGUUUUCCAUUUGUCCUGAUAGAUCCACUAAUAUCCUUAGCAUCCUGUGGCCUGCAGCAGGAUUCAGUGGAGGCCUGGAGAUCAUGCUCAUUUGUCAAUGCUCUUCAGCCCCCUAAAUCUGGAAUGACUCCCCAGGGCGAAUACACCUGCCUGGCUGUCUGGGCUCGGUUCUACUCUACCAGGCAUUAGCUCUGUGAGAACAGUCAAGUGCUUACUCUUCUGUGCCUCGUGUAAUAAUCUGUACACUCAGAAUAACAACGGACCUAUUUUGUGGGGGUGUUAGAGGCUUGGCUCACAGGAAAAGGAAGGCAAUGCAUUCCCUGUGUUAUGACAGAUCUGUGUGGCUAGGGUUCAGGCCUAGCGAGACCCCAGGACAUCUCAGAUCCUUCCCCCAGUUAGUCUAGGGGCUCAGAGGCCUCCACAUGAGGUGGAAACCACAGAUCUGGUGGGGCCAUGGCUGCUGCUACAGACAGCAGCCAGCCGAUGGCCAGCCAUGCCAGCUGGGCAGAGCAGGUGCAAGUGUGGCAGGGCACAAACCCUAUGCUGUGUCCAGUCAGCCCUCGGGGAGGGCUGGGGCUGCAUCUGUGAGGUGACAGGGUGUACUGAGUGUCACAGAUGGCUUCCUUCCCUUAAGUGUGAAGUGAAUUCCAGAUAGACCCCAGGCUUUGCUGUAGGGAAAGCAAAAUACACAUUUCUACAGCUGCAGUGCGGCUUCUGUGGGAGGGCCGAGGAACUUCUGCAGGGCCCUGUAACCAGACACUCUUCCUCCUUCUGUUUUCUGACCUAAAAGGGAACUACACAGUGUGGGAAACCCUCAUAAAGGGUUAUGAGAUGGGAAAACAGGUGGAAGGGACUCCUGAAAUCUUCUGGAAACCCAUCAAUUAAGGCUGUUAUGUAAAGCAUGCCAUCUGUCCAUCUGUCCAUUCAUUGAUCCACGCAUUCAACUCUGUCCAUGCAUGCAUCCCUCCACAUAUCCACCCAUCCACCCAACCAUCCAUCCAUCCAUCCAUCCACCCAUCCAUCGAUCCAUCCAUCCAUCCAGCCAGCCAGCCAGCCAUUCCUCCCUCCCUUCAUGCAUGCCUCUGUCCAUGUAUACUUCCAAGAAGGGAUGUGGUAUCACCUGGGACCUUCACUCCUCUGCCUCACCAUCCAGGGCUCAUCUGACAUUGUCAAGGAAGCAGCUAUCUCACAGACAUGCUUUCCCCUCAUAACUUUCAGCCCUUUAAAAGUGCUUACCUUCACUUAGGUUAGUAUUUGGGAGAGAAAGAUGGCUAAAAUGAAUCAUAAACCUGUCCUCCUCAGAAGAAACCAUGCCCUUCACCCAGGUGUUUCUGGGUGAGCCCGGUCACUCCUCUGCAUAGAGGUCACCUCUCUGUGGUGAAGAUGGUGGUGUGAAUCCACAAGGCCAAUCCACAAGUGUGCAUGAUGUGGCCUCAGUUGCUCUGCUUUUUCAUAACUCAUUUUGCAGCUGUUUUCCUUGGUGGUGAGACGCCCAUCACUUGCCACUUCCUACAAGUCUUGGCAUGUUUCUUUCGAUUUCAUCUUUAAAUGGUCUUAAGCUGGGGAAUUUGCUAACCAAAUGUGUUAGGAUUUGUGUAAAGCAAGAGUCCUUUAUAUAUUUAUCAAAGACUUUUAAUCCUUAAAGCCUUUGUGACUCCUAUGUUUGCCUUAUUUAUAAAAUGCUUCAACUCCCCAGGCAAUUGAGGUCCUCGGCUGCUGCGUCUGCAUAGGUCAUAGGUUGUAGGUCAUAGGUCAUAGAUGUGGUGGGGUGUGGGUGAACUGCUCCUCCUUUAUCCUUACAGAGUUCUCUUGCCCUGGUUGACUGCUCCCCCAUAGGGAGGGGAAGGAGAGAGGGAGAGGGUUGGGGCUGGCAGUGUCAGAGGGGUUGGAAGUUUCUAAGGGAGACAGUGUGACCAGGGCCCUGCUGAUAGUGUGCAGAUGGCUGGGGAAGGGGCCACAGCCUCUCCUUCACCCUUGGUGGUGAUGACCAGCAUGGAUAGGCCAGGGAUUCCCAGCCCGGAGCCCAGCAGGGGGUCUGAGGCCCUGGGGUCUCAAGGACUGACAAGGGACUGUGGCUAGAGGUGUGAGGGGAUUUUGAGAAGGUGCCAGGGAGCUCAAUCUGCAAGUACUCAGCACAACCUGGCAGCACACGGGCGCCUUUCAGCACACAGGUGGAAGGACCCUGAAACGGCUGGUGCUGGGCUAUAUGGGACAGCUUUCUACAGGUAGUAGCGGCUGGUCAAGGUGAAAAAACCGACAAUGGGACAUUCCAGAGGUUGUCCCUUCCCUUCUGUCUCUCCCACAAAGAUCUCUUCCCUUUGUCCCUCUCUAAUCCAGGUGACCUCACAGUGAACUCACUUCAGAAAGCGACAGCCCCAGCCCCCACUGACAGCUGCACAUUUCCAUGAGGUGCGACAAUGACCUGCCUGCCCUCCGCACACACUUGGACACAUACACUGUUCUGUGCUUGGACCCAGAAGAGGCCCUGGCUCCCCCUCAUUCCCCCAUCACUGCUGCAGCUGUAGGGUACAAGGUCCCCGCUGCAGGACUUGGGAGAAAUACGUGGGGAAGGAAGGAUGUGAGGUGUCGCAGAUCCCAGCCAGCAGAGCUGUCACCCUGGCAUUGCAGGGCCUUCCUCUGCAGCCACUUACUCUGAGAGGUGGCUGGGGGUGGCUCCUAGGCUGAAACCUAAGAAAAGGUUCAGAGCAGAGCUGGGGGCCCCAAGAGUCCCUCCACGUGUGCCCCAGGCAUGAAUCCCCAUUCUGUGGGGCAAGACAAAGGAGGCUGGGCAGGUGUUUUUGGCCACCAGCAGCAGCUCCACUAUACCACUGUGUGGAGGGAACCCCAGGGCACUGCAGGAAAUGAAGAAGGGGGCGGAGAGGUGCAGAGACCUUCCCACCCCCACCUCAUGGCUGGCAGAGUGGGCUCUGACUGUCAAGGCCUUUCCUGCCUUGCUCUGCUCCCACGUGCCUUGCUCUGGAUCCCUGGGAGAGGGGUCUGAGGUGUGGGCAGGGGUCUGGGGCGUGGGCAGAGGCCUGGCCUCAGCUCAGUGCCUUGAACCCUGUCCUGUCCCUGCCAGGCCAUCAGGAUGUACCUGUUUGCUGACAGUGAGGCAAGUGUUUGGGGUGGGCCAGGAUGGGCUGCCCAAGGCCAGAGAGGGCCAGGACCCUCCCAUGUCCACCCUGCCCCCAGCCAUGACCAAGCCUAUGAGUGGUCAUUUCCCUAGUGGGCAGGGGAGAGGCACUUGCAGGCAGGUAGAUGGUGGGGAGGAGCUGGCCAGGGUGAGAAGUGGGUGAGGUCAGGGCACAAUGGGCCAAGGAAGGGAACAUGUGACAGACCCAAGGCACUGUGGAGCUCAGUGUUCCCGGGUAGUGGGAGCGGCCCCAACUUGGUGCCUGUGCUCAUGUCACAUGUCCCUGGGUCGCUCUCAUUGUACUGGAAGGGGCCUGGAGGUUGUUCUGAUCAUGUGAAGUUCAGUGCUCUUUCCAUAGUCACCUUUUGAACACUCUCCUGUGCCCAGCUUGAUUGAGGACACUGCUGAGCGAGGUCCACGGGUUCCUAGCCCUAGGGUUGUCCUCUUGGACAGGGAGGCUGCAGUGGCAGUGGAGCCAGACUUCCCAGGUUGUGCAUGUGAACCCCAAGUGCGGACAUGGCCAUUGCCCUGUCCCACAGGCCGAAGGCUCAGCCAGGCCUUGGAGGUCCUACUUUGAUCCAGUAGUGGUGGACUUGUGGGAGCCCCGGUUCUUUAUGGCGGGGACAGUCCUAAGAUAGUCACAGGGUAAUGGCAGGUGCUGAGGCUCUGCGUUCCUUGACCCCUGGCUGGUUGAGGGGACUCCCUGUCCUUAGACUUGACCUGCCUGUGACCACUGCUGGCUUUACUGACCUGGUUGUCCUGGGGGGCAGGUAACUAGGGGGCCCCUUCUGAGGCCCUGUAGCCUCUUCCCUUCCAGAGGAGAAGUCAUGGUUUUCUGGGCUCAGGGGCCCCUCUGAGCCAGCAUGGAGCAGGCUCUUGGGACAUCGAGGUGAGGGAAGAGAUACCCUGUACCUCAGGGAUAUACUGUCAAGUCCAAGAAGUGGCAGGGCUGGUGGCCUUGUCUGGUGGUUCCUCCGCUGCCCAGGGGGAGCUGGCAUCUGGGCCUGGGACAGGGUGAGGAGAGGGUCAGGACUGGCCCUUUCCUUGUGGUGUCUGUUCUGCAGCUCAUGAGGGAGCCUCUGUGCUCUGCACAGGACAGCCAAGACCCAGAGAGGUUACAUUUACCUGAGGUCACGCAGGCACAGGGGCCAAGCUGGGACUUGAGUCCUUGUGGUCUGAGCCCAGAUUCCCUGGGUGUUUCAGGGGCAUCCAUCCUCCCCUUACUCUGCCCUCCUCAGGGCCCUGGGGUGCCAGUAUGUUCGAGGCACACUUUUCUACGUAUUCCUGGGUGUCAUUUGGGGUGAAGGAUUAGGGAGCACUCACACUUUUGAGGUUCUGGGAGUUGCUGGGCUUAAGUCACUGCUGUGUCACUCCAGCCAGGUCACCUGAGUCCCUGAAAGCCUCUGUUCCUUGUCCCGUGGGGCCUGUGUGGUCCCUGCUGCUGGGCUCUGGUCUUACCUGCCCUAGGGGUGAUGCAUGUGGGGGGUGGGGUGGGGGUGGAGCAGAGACUGCUGGUCGAGCUGUCACCCCUGUUGCUCCAUCUGUCUUUCAGAGUGGUUAGAACAGCUGGAGAGGUUGGGCCCGCAUCUGGCAGGGCUGUACCAGUGAGAACCCUAACUUUCUGGGGAUGGUGGUGAGAGGCGGGUGGAGGUGCCAGCCAGGUUCAGGUCUGGCAGCGAGGUCUGGGCCAAGAUCACCAGGAACCUGGGAAGACUGGUCUCGUUCUGUGACCUCUAGGCCUUUUCCCACGACCCUUUGGGGGUCUCUAACUGUGGCUCCUCUACUCCCGACUAACGGGGGGGGGCAUUUUUGCACCAGGCACGUUGGAUGGGUGCAGUCAUGGGCUAUGAGUCAUCCACUCCGCCCAGGAACGCAGAGGAGGACGGGCGCGUGUGUCCUCUCUUGUCCCUGUCUAGGAUGGCUUUGUCCCCAAUUCCGGGAGCCCUGCUCCGAGCCUCCGAGCGCGCUGAGAGCCCCCGACCUGUCCUCCGGCGCCCUCUACUGGCCGGCCUUCCCACGGCGCCCGCAGGCUGCUGGGCGCUGGGCCAGCGGUCCCGCGGUGCCUUCAGCAGCUUGCUCUUCACUGCAGGAUCCACAGAAUGCGCCACCUGCUGGGUCGCGUCCUCACGUAGUUCUGGCCAGCUGUGAUCGCCCGGGGUCAGCCGGAGAAGGGGCCUGAGAAAAUGAGACUCAGGGCCAGUGAGCAAAAGGGCCCGGGAGAGAGAAGGAAGGGAAACUUCCCUCACUGGCCACACUGAUCAGCCAGGCCUGGGCCAGGCCGGGCGUGGAAAGCCACGUGAAGCAUCUGUGCAGGGCCUUCUAGGCAUGAAGCUGGCUGGGGUGGGCAGGAUUGUCACCCCUAGUUUAACAGACGAGGAAACUGAGAUUCGGGCAGGGGAAACGGCUUGCUGUCGGUCACUGGUUCCCCAGGCUUGGAACAGCAUGGUCGGCAGGGAGAGGGAGGGGGAGAAACAGAGGCUGGGUGUGUGGCCCCCGCUGAGUCCUCUGCAUUACAGUCUCAGUUGAAGUGGGCCGGGGGUUCGGUCCUGGUGGUCAUGUUCCUGGGGCUAGGCAGGUCACUGGGAGAGGAGCCGGGAGUGGGACCGAGUGCAGUGGGGAGCUGCCCCGCCCCAAAGCAUGAGCUCCUUCCCCGCAGCAGGGGACAGGCCUGUCUCCAAGGAGGGAAAGUGAGAGGACUCCAGCAGGGGGCGUGCUCCCUCAGCGUGGGGGCCACGGCCUGUGCAUGCUGGUGGGGCGGGUUGGGACCUCAUGCAGGCCCAGAGGGUCACCCGUGGGCUAGGCCUCUAAUGCAGCCCCACCUGCAGGCUGUUCUGCUGCGGCUUCCGCCAGGAGCUCUGCUGAUCCCACUGAUAGGAUUAUAUCCAGAAGAUGAGAAGUAUAAAACAAAAGAGGCCUUUAUUCUGAGAACACGGAGAGAGAGAACUGACACCCCCUGACCACUGGAGUCUGGCUUUCUCUGUGGUGGACACAUGGCGUCGGGGGUAUUUAAGUAGUCUUGGUUUGGGAUGGAAUCUAAGUGGGCAUCAGGGAUGCACGGGUAGCCCAUUGGUCUAGGUUUGGCACCAUAGGUAAAUUCCUAAGGGGCGGGGAAGAUGGAGUCACAGGUAAAUUCCUAAGGGUAGAGGAGAUAGGAGCUCUUUGGUUCCACCUUUAAGGCUUCACCAGCUACAGUGCCCUGUCUGGGCCAAAACCCUUUCAAACCUCUACACCACCACCUGCCUCUAUUUCCCGCACUUUCUGCUCAGCUCGCCGUGUCGUGCAUCUGGUGAGUCUCAGCAGUCUCCUUGGCCACCCUGAAGUCCAUCCUUUAUGGAUCCACUGGACCUCAGCGCUGCCAGGAGCUCUGUGGGCCCCCAAACCCAGCCUCCAACUUCUAGACUCAGUAGAGUCAAAGCCUCACGGAUGUUUGCAACUCAGAAGCCUGGGGAAAGGCAUUGGAAGAGUUAUGGUCAUGUGGAGAAAAAGGCGCCUCUGCUGGGGAAUUAACUUAGCGCCUGCUGUGAACUGAGGCCUCCGCAUCCCUUGAUUUCCCUGGGCGAGGCGGUGUCCUUUGCAAGGAGGAGGGUACAUCAUGUGCUCAGGAGGUGCAAGGGGACUUCCUGGGUGCAGCGCAGGUAACAAUGAGGUGCAGCUGGUUUUUUGGGGGGAAAACCAAGGAUGAUUCUGGGCUGAGUGGGGAAGUAGAGGCAGCCAUGACCACACUGGGCAAGAGUUAGUGGGAGCCGGCCCAGCGCAGGGCUGUCCUGGAGCCUGCGCUUGUCAGCCUUCCCCGUGGUCCAUUACGGCCCUUGUCUCACAGGAUGUAGGGUCUUUGGUUAAGAAUUUGGACUUCAAAGUGGGGUCUUCAAGGUCCCCUGCCCCUGCCCUGCCUGCCAUCUUCAGCCGCCUUCCAGAUGUUCAAAAGGGGACCGUUUAUUGAGCAUUUGCUACUUCUUGACUGCUUUCAAUCCAUUCAGCUCAAUGCUCUAUAAACCCCCAGCCAAAUAGGUUUGGUCAGCCUCCUUUUAUCAUUGGCGAAAUGGAGGUAUAGCGAAUCUAAGCUGCUUGUCACAGAGCUGGGAAACAACAGAGGAGGGAUUUGAACUGGGGCUGUCCAAAUCCUGGGAACUACUCGGUCCCCUGUACUGUGCUGCCUCUGACAUGGGCUGGGCGAGCUUCUGAUGGCAAUGCUGGUGGCCGCAGGUGUAACCAACUGUGCUCUUACACAUCAUUGCUAAGUGGAGACCAUGCAGGGGAAGAAAAGGCACUGGCUAAGGAAAUCUGACCUUUACUUACCUGUGUCAGCCUGGGGUUUCUGAGGAAGCAAAGUUCAGCUGUGAGAACCUUCCACCCCCUGCUCGCCCAUCCAGCUCCUUCUGCAGCAUCCUUGGGCAAGAGCCUGGCAGAGGUGGGCUGGGAAUCUAUGCCUGACUGAGGAAUCCAGGAUGGCCCCCCACAGAUGGAGCUGCUCCAUCUCUACCCUCGUUUGUUCCUGCGGAUGCUCUGUGAGUUGCUCAAGGAGGAUGAGCAGGCCAAUGCAGAUCUGCCCCUGCUCCCUGUCCUGUAGCCAGAGAGGAGUGGCCCAGGGGCUCAGAAGCGUGGGGCUGCCUCGGGUUAGAGCAGUGUGGUGGCAUCAACCUCUGGGGGUGCUGGAAAAUGUGCAGAAGCUGUUUUUGGGCAUUCAUGUACAGACGUUGAAUUUUUAGGUAGAAAUACUGUAAAUUGCUUCUUAUGCUUCAUUAUACUAAGGGCAUUAUAUUGAUUUUUAAAUUAUGGAGAUAAUUAUUUAUGGAUUUCAAUUCAGGGUGGCAAAGAGGAAAUUUAACUAUUUCCUUUCAGAAUGGGGCACUGAGUGUGACAGGACUACAGGUCCUGCUCAACAGGGCUGAGCCAACUGCUGGUGCCCACACCUCUACAGAGCGCUGCGGCUGAACCCCCCUUCCUCAUCUAGUCCCCCACCUCUUCCGAGCUGAGGGCCUCUCCACACAGCCCUUGUGAACACCAGCGAGCCGGGAUCUGGUUUUGAUCCCUUGCUGUUUGGGCUGAGAUUCCUACUGGCAGCAUGGCAGCCUCAGCUUAGCCCAGUCUGCACCCCCAAGCUCUCCGUGAGGAUCCUGGUUUCUACCCUGGCUUUCCUGAGGCUCACUUCUUAAAACAUCCAUCUCCGUUUAGCUGGGUGUUACCAGGCAUGUGUGUCCUUUAGCCAGUGUCUAUUGAGAGCCUCCUACCUUCCUCCUGCCUAGGAGCAGCUUAAAAUGCGUGGUUCUCAAUUCAUAACCAAAUCAGUGCUUGCAGCUACAGGACCUCUCCACCCCAGCCCAUCCUGAGGCUGGACACGCUCCUGUCAGUGGUGGUUGAUUCUCAGGGUAGUGUGUGGCCCAAUUCCUCCUCCCCUUAUCCUCUGAGCGAGACUUGUGACACAUUUUCUACCUCUGUUUGGGAGUCACUGUGUGAACUUGGGAAGAAAAGUUCCAUAAGCAUUUGGUUAGUUUCUUAUCAGGCUGAGGUGAAAGAGAGCCGAGGACCAGGAGACUGCACGGAGGCUAACUCACCUGGAGCCAUGGUGGCACUGUGCGUCACCUUCUCCCCCAGGUAACUAUUAAAGAAUGAUUGGAGGAAAGAAACAAGAGUGUUGAUACUUCCCUAAUGCAACAGAUUUGGAGCCCAAGAACAUUUGUUUUGGGGAGGAUGAAGCAGUCUUGCUCUCAUCCUAAAGACACCGUUCAUGGUCUUUUAAGCCUUUUGAAAAUGCGUGCAGCCAGUGGAAUUAGACCUGCAUCAUAUCUUGCAUCCAAUUUUCUUCCUAAAUAUUUCUCUUUAAACAGUAUUGCUAUGCAGAUAAUAGGAAACAGGGAGAGAGAUCUUUUGCAAAUGAGAAGGGCACCAAGAGAUGGAGGGAAAAGGAGGAAGGAGAGAGAAAGGAGAAGUAAAAGGAAUUAGGACUUGUGUACACUCACCAGUUCCCUGUGCUGGGUGUAAUCAUUGUAUACUGCAAAUAUGUGCUGAUAAAAAUAAAAAUUUACAAUGUUUCUGUGCAUUUUCUGUGACUUAAUAACAAUAAAAGAUUGGCUUCCUCACUGUUCUUUCAUUACAGGUCACUAUAAAGAUGAAAUGAGAUGGCCCAAACGUUUUGAAUUUGACACAAAUACGCAUGCAUGAAAACGUAUUAGAAGUCAUACUCGUGACUGAAAAGCUUGAUCCUUUAUUUUGGCAGCAGCUUCUCUGUGGUAUUCAGCCUGGCCCAUCCUUGUUCUGAUGUCACUGAUUUGAAUCCACUCUUUUUUUUUUUUUCUUUUUUCUGGUACCGGGGAUCGAACUCAUGACCGCCUGCUUGCAAGUCAGGUACUUAUGCCGCUGAGCUAAAUCCCCAGCCCCCUUGAAUGCACUCUUACAGUUAGCUCCUGUUUUGUCUUAGUGGUGUCGUGCUGACUUACAUGGAAGCUUGGGAUGAGUGCUCGUGUCUGACGAACCAGUGCAAACCCUGAAGUAAGAGUCUGAUGGCGCAGUUCUCCCGUCCCAACUUUGGGGCACCGGGAGUAUCUGAGGGUCACCAGGGACACAGGGCCCACACUGCCAAGGCUUUUCCUUCCUGUGGCUGUGUCCACUUCCACUCUUGGUCUUUGUGUCUGCAGGGGCAGGCUCUCUGGGCCAGGAGAGGUCAGUGCUGUGUGUUAUUCAGGGGCUAAGGAAGAGUCUGCUGUGAGGAAUACUGCUCGAGUUCCUGAGAUAUAGCAGAAAAGCCAUUGCCACCAAAUUCCACACUUAGAAUCCCUACCCAGGAUAGAGAAACAGAAAAAGAGCAAGGGAUAAACAGCAGCAGUGCCUUGGGGGUCUCAGGAGCAGUGGAGGGGGAGGGAGGAUGGGGUGGCCUAAGGACCCUCAUGUGACUUCCCCACUGCCUAUCACAUUCUACCUCUUCUGCCUCAGUUACCCACGCGCUUCCCUCAGACUCAGGCGUCUUCUGGCCUCCAAUGAGGCCACUUCCUUCUUAGUCCUUGGCCUGCAGACCUCUCUUUCUUUUGUGUCCCCACUGGAGUCCUGGGCUCAGGUUCUUGGGCUCACACAGUGUCCUGUGCAUUGCAUUGCCCGAAGCCUGGCUCCCAGCUUAGGACUGAUGGCUCUGGAUCCUCCACUAGAGAGCUGCAGGGGAAGGAGAGGGGCGAAGGCUGUACAUGGGAACAGAGGAAGUGGGGGAAGGUGACGACCUAGGCUUAAAACUUGCCUCAACUCAGGAAAUGGGGAUGAGGUAGGCGGGACACAUACUUCUCUUCAGGGUCACAUGAUGCAGAUUUUAGUUUUUUAAAAGCCUGAUGCCCAUUUUCUAAUUUGGUUCAUCUACACCAUAGUUAGAGAUAUAUGCUGUUCCUCCUGAGAUGCUGUAACACUGAUGGCCACCCCCACUACUGGGAGAACUUUUAGUUAGGCCUGUGGUCACCUGAUACUUCUCCAAGCCUUCUAGGAAGAUGAGUAGGGACAUGUGACCGAGAGCUGGCCUUUAUGUCCUGGGCGGGAGUAAGGCAUCCGUGACCUUACGAGUGGGCACCUUCCCCUUUUCUCUUCCCCUCCCUUGGCUGAAGAGAGAAGUUGUUUGGGAGCCAUCUUUGGCCACAUGGAACAGGCAGGGACUGGCCGCAGAGUAGGGAUGGCAGAGCCCCAAGACAGGCGUGGCCUAUGCCUGGCCCCUGGUCAACACUGGAAGUUUCUCCUGGGCAGGGGAGGUGGGCCUUGUUAUUACAAAGCUGAUUUUGAGAAAUGGAUCUGCUUUCCUCACAACGAGAAGAAGCAGUUCCUAGGUGAGAAUGAUGGUCAGAGCCUUGGUUAGGGUGGAUUCUCCAAACCACAAAUGCUCCCCAUGAAGCCUUUUGGGAUAGAAGCCCUCACCAUUGCUUUCUAUCAUACAUAAAAUAAACAGAUGUUUUGGUUACUUUUCUCUUGUUGCUGGGACAAAAUACCCAAUCCCCAAGAUUAAGAAAGGGAAGGUUUAUUUAGCUCACAAUUUGUGGAGGUUUCAGUCCAUAAUCAGCUGGCUCUAAGGCAGGAUGGCAUGGCACAGGGGCAACUGUUCAUGGUAGUGGAAGACAGCAAAAGCAACAAGAGCAAAAAGAGAGAUGCAUGAAGAGAAGAGACUUGCUGUCAUCUAUAUUUUAUGU